GAUGAACGCUGGCGGCGUGCCUAAUACAUGCAAGUCGAGCGAACGGACGAGAAGCUUGCUUUUCUGAUGUUAGCGGCGGACGGGUGAGUAACACGUGGAUAACCUACCUAUAAGACUGGGAUAACUUCGGGAAACCGGAGCUAAUACCGGAUAAUAUUUUGAACCGCAUGGUUCAUAAGUGAAAGACGGUCUUGCUGUCACUUAUAGAUGGAUCCGCGCUGCAUUAGCUAGUUGGUAAGGUAACGGCUUACCAAGGCAACGAUGCAUAGCCGACCUGAGAGGGUGAUCGGCCACACUGGAACUGAGACACGGUCCAGACUCCUACGGGAGGCAGCAGUAGGGAAUCUUCCGCAAUGGGCGAAAGCCUGACGGAGCAACGCCGCGUGAGUGAUGAAGGUCUUCGGAUCGUAAAACUCUGUUAUUAGGGAAGAACAUAUGUGUAAGUAGCUGUGCACAUCUUGACGGUACCUAAUCAGAAAGCCACGGCUAACUACGUG
rnacentral:rRNA from 1 species